AUCCCUCAUUCGCCGUUUCUAUCUUUAUUUCUCUCUUUCAAAAUCUCCCCUUCAUCGUUUCCAUUGAUUAUGCCCUAAUUCACGGUCGCCAUUAAUUCUUAAUUGUUUCCAUUGAUUAUGCAUUGACCAACUGUCUAUCAACAACAUAUCAGUUGGCUACAAUUUAUUAUGCCGAACCUUUUCAAUUAUAAAUCAUUGCUUCAAAGAUUUACUUUUUACAUUCCCAAAUCCCAAACCUGUUUUCAGCCGACCCGUUCCACUUUUGUACAAUUAAGAACCCAGGUUAUCUUCGGCUAAUUAUCUCAUCUCCGGUUAAUCAUCCAUCGAUUUUUGAAUUUUGUUCAUUGAGAUCACUUGUAGUGAGUUAUCUAAUUGAUUUCGCUUCUUUUUCUGUUAUGGUCGUGAUUAUGGUGUUUUUUUGUUUCGUUUUCCAUAUCUGGUCGAAUUUGUUGUUUGCGAUUAUGAUCGUCAUGGUGUUUUUUGUUUUCAUUUUAUUUCAAGACUUAAAUAUAAAUAUGCAGGCAUACCAAUCGUUUGAUGAAAUGCCUAAAUCAUGAUAGUCUAACCUCUCCGAUAUGUUUAAUGGCUAUGUUCACCCUUAGUUAUGGAGAUUUAGAGAGUGUCACAACCUGUUAAUUAUACUACUUCAUAUUGGAGUAGAGUUAUACUUAGCUCUUUUUUUUUAAUUGGAUGGAUUUGGAAUUGUGAGUUCCAAAUAUUACUAAAAGAAUUUCAUUGUGUUUUAUUUUCAUAUACUGAACAGUAAUGAACUCCUAACUUGAUCAUAAAUGGGAUUAUAGAAUCAUCUUUUCAGAUAUCAAAAUCUUUCAUAAAACUAUUUUUUUAUUCCGUUAACAUUGUAAUUAGUUUUGAUCUUUACUAAAGAGUAAACUUCAACUUCAUUAACUUUUUCUAUUCUUGGCUCCAAAAUUCACUAAUACCAUUUGGGUUGUGCGUGGCAGACUCUUUAGGAAUUUUGACAUCGAUGAAAAGAAGUCUAUAUCAGCACAUGAGCUGAAGUAGCUUAUAACGAGAGUCAAGUUCCAAUUGUAUAAAUUGACGUGUUAUGUGAGGCUCUUUCAAAGAGUUUAAGGCUUUCAAAGAGUUUGAUCGGAAUAGUAAUGAUUUUACUGAUGAGCCAGAGUUGUGAAUGAGAUGACAAAAUAUAUGGGUAAGGUCAUUCAAGUUGUACAUACAUCGCAAGUUGAUGGGAUAAAAAUCAUUGAAGAUUUGAGAUUUUAACAGUUUGCAUUAGGAAUUGAGAUUAGCGGUGGUUGAUAAUUCCAUCUGAGAAAUGAGUUUGUUUUGUUUUAUGAGCGUGCAGAUUGUGUGGAAAGGAGAAUAUUAGAAGUGUG
rnacentral:lncRNA from 1 species